GUUAUGUGCUGCCUUGUUGAUGUAUGUGCAGAGUUAGCGAAUUAUCCAGUACCAUCCCAAAUGGUUGAUUAGAAGAAAUAUUGUAUCUAUAUUAUUGACUUUCUAACUGCAGAGAAGAGGGAUUUAGUUAGCAGGGCAGAGGCUAUUUGGUUGCUUUAAGAACUUGCAGGACUGGUUUUGCAGUGUUUUUGCCAAAUGCUUUCAGAAUAAAAGUUCAUUGGACAAAGACAAUGAUUCUUGCUGUGCUAAUGCUUGGAGAGGCUCACUAACAAGGGACUCGUGAGUGCCGGCUCAUCUGGGGAAGAGAAACAUUUUGUGUUACAAAGACAGAAGUUGCUGUCAUUACCAGCCUUCUGGCCGCUGAGAAACUGGAUGAGAGGGGAGUAAUGAAUCAAGUGCUGAUGCAGUGUACGGGUUUAUUGCUCAGAGAGACAGUACCUUUUGCUGAGUUGAGCAUAUGGCUAACAGGAGCUAUGUCAGGUAAGUUAUGCAACCUUUAGUUUUUUCACCUAGUUUCUUUUGUUGUUAGUCAGCUUUGGAAUAGAAUUAUAAUGCAGUCAGGUUUGUAACAACUGCUAGCUUGGGUUGUCUGUUACUUUGAAAUAUCUGGAAAAAUGCCAACGAUCUCAAGUGUCUUGAAGUCUUAUCAAGCUUUUGCUUUU
rnacentral:lncRNA from 1 species